rnacentral:rRNA from 1 species
GAUGAACGCUGGCGGCGUGCCUAAUACAUGCAAGUCGAGCGAACGGACGAGAAGCUUGCUUCUCUGAUGUUAGCGGCGGACGGGUGAGUAACACGUGGAUAACCUACCUAUAAGACUGGGAUAACUUCGGGAAACCGGAGCUAAUACCGGAUGAUAUUUUGAACCGCAUGGUUCAAAAGUGAAAGACGGUCUUGCUGUCACUUAUAGAUGGAUCCGCGCUGCAUUAGCUAGUUGGUAAGGUAACGGCUUACCAAGGCAACGAUGCAUAGCCGACCUGAGAGGGUGAUCGGCCACACUGGAACUGAGACACGGUCCAGACUCCUACGGGAGGCAGCAGUAGGGAAUCUUCCGCAAAGGGCGAAAGCCUGACGGAGCAACGCCGCGUGAGUGAUGAAGGUCUUCGGAUCGUAAAACUCUGUUAUUGGGGAAGAACAUAUGUGUAAGUAACUGUGCACAUCUUGACGGUACCUAAUCAGAAAGCCACGGCUAACUACGUG